rnacentral:rRNA from 1 species
GGUCAGUCGGGACCACCCGCUGAGUUUAAGCAUUAUAA